GGAGAGGUCGCAUAGUGGUCUAGUGCGGCACGGUGCUAACGUGCUGACCGGGUCAAACUGGUCCGAGGGUUCGAAUCCCUCCCUCUCCG
rnacentral:tRNA from 1 species